AGGGGUGUAGCUCAGUUGGUAGAGCAUCGGUCUCCAAAACCGAGGGUCGGGAGUUCGAGUCUCUCCGCCCCUGCCA
rnacentral:tRNA from 2 species